rnacentral:rRNA from 1 species
UAAGGAAUAUUGGUCAAUGGACGCAAGUCUGAACCAGCCAUGCCGCGUGAAGGAUGAAGGUCCUCUGGAUUGUAAACUUCUUUUAUCUGGGACGAAAACGGGAUUUUUAUCUCAAUUGACGGUACCAGAGGAAUAAGCAUCGGCUAACUUCGUGCCAGCAGCCGCGGUAAUACGAAGGAUGCAAGCGUUAUCCGGAAUUAUUGGGUUUAAAGGGUGCGUAGGCGGACUAAUAAGUCAGUGGUGAAAGCCUGCAGCUUAACUGCAGAAUUGCCAUUGAUACUGUUAGUCUUGAGUACAGUUGAGGUCGGCGGAAUGUGUCAUGUAGCGGUGAAAUGCUUAGAUAUGACACAGAACACCGAUUGCGAAGGCAGCUUGCUAAGCUGUAACUGACGCUGAGGCACGAAAGCGUGGGGAGCAAACA